rnacentral:rRNA from 1 species
GAUGAACGCUGGCGGCGCGCCUAACACAUGCAAGUCGAACGGUUAAAGCACCUUUUAGGUGUGUAUAAAGUGGCGAACGGCUGAGUAACACGUGGGCAACCUGCCCUCCUCUUGGGGAUAGCCUCGGGAAACCGAGGAUAAUACCCGAUACUUCAAUGUGGCCGCAUGACGACAUUGAGAAAGCUUUUGCGGAGAAGGAUGGGCCCGCGGCCUGUUAGCUUGUUGGUGGGGUAGAGGCCUACCAAGGCAAUGAUGGGUAGCUGGGUUGAGAGACCGACCAGCCAGAUUGGGACUGAGACACGGCCCAGACUCCUACGGGAGGCAGCAGUGGGGAAUCUUGCACAAUGGGCGAAAGCCUGAUGCAGCGACGCCGCGGGCGGGACGAAGGCCUUCGGGUUGUAAACCGCUUUCAGCAGGGACGAGGCGAUAAGUGACGGUACCUGCAGAAGAAGCCCCGGCUAACUACGUG